rnacentral:sRNA from 1 species
CUGCUGCGGGCAGAUCCAGUGAAUAUGCGUAUCUACGCCGCCCGCGGUGACGAUCUUGCCUUCUCCGGCGAUGACUUCUGUUCCUACGCCUAUCGGGAUUGUGACAUUGGGCUGAAUAUCGGGAUUACCCGCUUUGCCGAUGGCGAAGAUCCUGCCGUCUUUGAUGCCGAUAUCCGCUUUGACGAUCCCCCAGUGAUCAACGAUCAGCGCAUUGGUUAUCACCAGAUCCACACACGCCUGGGCGCGCAUUUGUCCCUGGCCCAUACCGUCGCG